rnacentral:rRNA from 1 species
CCUACGGGAGGCAGCAGUGGGGAAUAUUGGGCAAUGGACGCAAGUCUGACCCAGCAACGCCGCGUGAAGGAAGAAGGCUUUCGGGUUGUAAACUUCUUUUAAGGGGGAAGAGCAGAAGACGGUACCCCUUGAAUAAGCCACGGCUAACUUCGUGCCAGCAGCCGCGGUAAUACGUAGGUGGCAAGCGGUGUCCGGCUUUACUGGGUGGAAAGGGCGUGCAGUCGGGAAGACAAGCCCGAUGUUAAAUCCCGCGGCUCAAUCGCGGAACUGCAUUGGAAACUGGUUGUCUUGAGUAUCGGAGAGGUAAUCGGAAUUCCUAGUGUAGCGGUGAAAUGCGUAGAUAUUAGGAAGAACACCAGUGGCGAAGGCAGAUUACUGGACGACAACUGACGGUGAGGCGCGAAAGCGUGGGGAGCAAACAGGAUUAGAUACCCGAGUAGUC